CAUAUACUUCCUCCGUUCCAAAUUACUCGUCGCAAAAAUGGAUGUAUCUAGAACUAAAAUACAUCUAGAUACAUUCAUACCCGCGACAAGUAAUUCGGAACAGAGGGAGUACAUU
rnacentral:pre_miRNA from 1 species